UCGUUUUAUUUGGCCAUACUAGUAAAUUGUCCUUCGUCCUUUGCGAAAUUUAGAAGUUGUUCCGAAUAUUUUCAAUGGAGGUAUUUUACAAAACACCUGAUGACAUUACUCGGGUUUGGAGCAUCUCUGAGGCAUUGUCACAUGAUAACAUCAGCAUGGAUGACUUGGCAGCUAACCCUUUCACACAGCUUUUCCCUGACAUGAAUGAGGCAAGACAGUUCAUGAUGAUCUCUGCCUCACAGAAACAGGAAGCUUUGGAGAGGGUGGAAGCAGAGAAAGUUCGCAAAUGUAUACAACUCAGCAGUCUUCUGGAGAAAGUGUUUCUAUUCACACUUGAUCAAGAAAUUACUGACGAUAGUGACAGACCAACAAAGUUGGUAAUUAUCAGAGAGUUGGGUCAAUCACUUCAAAAGGGAAACCAGACAUGGCUGGAUAUGAAGUACAUUGAACAGGCUGUGUUUGAGCGUCUCCUGCUGACUAACCCUUUGGAUGAUGUAAUAUCUACAAAACAUAAGAGUUCCUCAGAUGAUGCAAAGGCCAGGCGACUUGCAGGAGAGGGGGAGGUUCUCCGGUACCUCAUGCAGUGCUUUGAACGGUCUCUCAUUGCAAAAAAGGACAAACAGAACGACGAGUUCGCCUCUGAGUUGGCUACAUGCCAAGAGGUCAUGGUGCUGAAUGCCAGGACAAGUCUUCAGCAGCCGGACCUUUACCAGGGACAAGAUCCAAGGACACAGUUCAUACAGUUGUACCAAGAGGAGAUGGGGGGUGCUCUGGAGGAUGAAAGUGGCAAUAUUGAACUCUUCGAUUUGAUUGUCAGAGAGAUUGUGGCCAACGAGGAUGAGGAUGUUUUAGAGGCUGUUUUUCGGCCUGUUUUAGACUAUGUCUACAAAAAGUUUUCUGAGGACUUCACACUGUCAAGUGGGGGCAUCACUCGCUGUAUAGAUCUGCUAGGAUUCUUCACUCGACAUGAGGCUCUUGCCAAGAUAUUUAUGAAGUACAUUCAGCCAAAAGACUGGAACAGUGGUAAAGCGUAUGAGAGGACCCUUCUAGGUUCUAUGUUAUCCCUGAACUGUAUACCGCUGACAGAGUCGGGAGCCAAUCCCUGGUUUGACCAGCCAUCCUCCAAACAGAAGAGAGAACUAGAUAUAAUGGAGAGUAACAUCCAUCAGCUGUUGGAGAACUUGGGAACAAAAAUACACAAAUUUAUGGACACCCUGAUCAGGAUCUCGCCACAUCUCCGGCACCUGGUUCUCUCCUGGAUAGGGAAAUGUAUCCAUGCCAAUCUAGGGAGGUCCAAAAUUUGGUCAUCACAGAUGCCCCAGCUGUUUAAUCAGAUGUUCGCGUCUGAUGGAUUCUGCUUAAACCUGUGUUUUGUCAUGCUACAGUUCUGUUUCCCCAUCACAACCAAGGAGGCAAAGCUAGUGAUGAUCCAACCCAGUUACACCACCGUCGUCACCGCUGACGACCAGCAUGCUCAACAAGUAGGCGUUCACUCCAAAGGUUUAAACAAAGAGACCUGUCUUAUUCCUCUGGACGAGAACAAGCCCAAACUUCAGCUGGAAGACCAGUACAACUUUGUCACAGAGUGUUUCUUCCUUACACACCAGUGUCUCAAUGUAGGAUUCCGUACAGUACACGGACGCUUCCUCAAAUUAAAUCAGAGUUUACACAGAAUACAGCGACUCUACCAGGAAGUGAGGGAUCAGGGAGAUAGUGCCGUCAGGGAAGUCAAAAGCGAGAUGGAUAAAGCCAUGUCUAUAUACUUAUGUAUAAAGGCUGCCCUGUGUGAGCCACAUAUGCUGGAGAAAGCACUCGACUUUCAUCUGGCAACCUCUAUCUGGCUAUCCAAGAUCACAAUAUCAGAUGAUGUCAAGACCGUCAAAGAAAUAGCAUUUCCUCUGCCAGCGGAGGUCCCUCUUGCCAUACCUCACAUUCCCGAGUUUGUGAUGGGUAAUGUUACCGACUUCACCAUGUUCAUGCACAGGUUCAAGGACAACCUAUUCCUGGUCGCUAAGGAAAAACUAGACCACUUCAUGACCCUGAUCCUGGUCUACAUGGGCAGCCCUGAGCGAAUGAAGAACCCACAUUUAAGAGCUGAACUUGCUGAAACCUUGUCAGCCCUCAUACCCCCAAAGAUGGAUAGCAAUUCUGGGCAGUAUGACUUCAUCAGACACCGUUUGUUUUAUUACCACCCCCAUGUGAAACACGUUGCUGAGAAACUUCUGCAUGUGUUUGUGAGUAUAGAGAUGACAGGACAGAGUGUGGAGUUUGAGCAAAAGUUUAACUACCGCCGGCCUAUGUAUGCUACCCUGGAGCACAUCUGGGAGAUAAAAACGCACAUGGACGCCAUCAAGGUAAUGUCAGAGCACGCUGAAGAACAUAUCGAGGCCACGGAUCCGCCACUCUUCUUACGAUUUAUCAACCUUCUCAUCAACGAUGCUAUCUUUCUAUUAGAUGAGGCAUUAUCUUUCAUGAGUCAGAUCAAAGAGAAGCAGCAGCAGCAGGAGAGGGGAGAAUGGCAAGAGUUACCUCCCCAGCGUCGCCAGGAGGAGGAGGGCACACUGCGCCAGCUCACGAUGAUGGCCCGCUACCACAACCAGAUGGGGAAUCACACCAUCCAUACUCUAGAGAUGAUCACUAAGGAGAUCAAAUCCAUCUUCUGCCACGCCUCGAUCGUGAAUAGGAUCGCUGGCAUGCUCAACUAUUUCCUUCAACACCUUGUCGGUCCCAAGCAGAGAAAUUUCAAAGUGAAAGACAAAAAUGAGGUAGAUUUCAAGCCGGAUCAGACAGUGCUGGAUAUUGUUAGGAUAUACUUGAAUCUAGGAGAGGCUGACUGUUUCUGCCUGGCGGUGUCUGGUGAUGGGCGUUCAUACUCAGCAGAGCUCUUCCCUAAGGCUAUCGGUGUCCUUCAGCGUAUAUCAGCCUCCCCUGCAAUCAUCAGUGACUUUGAAAUCUUUCAAGACAAAUUAACGAAAAUGCGGAAACAACAAAAGGAGGAGGAGGAGUUAUUUGACGACGCCCCGGAUGAGUUCCUCGACCCUAUCAUGGGCACACUUAUGACAGAGCCUGUUCUACUGCCCUCAUCUAACAACAUCAUGGACAAGAAUGUCCUAGCCAGACACUUACUCAGUGACCAGAGCGAUCCCUUCAACAGAUCCCCUCUCAGUCUGGACAUGGUCAUCCCAGAUACAGAGCUCAAGGAUCAGAUACAGCAAUGGAUGGCUGAGAAACGACAUGGGCAAAAUAAUAAGUGACAUGUGUCAUGUCAACAAGCAGAUCUAGCUGUGAUAUCCUUCCUGAGGAAAUACCAGGAGAUUGGUACACAAAUGUGGUAUCAACAAUACGAUACAUGGAGUUAGUGCUAUUUUGUCAGACGACAUAUCAAUGACUGAUGCCAGAAACUCAAGCAUUUCAUCAAACGUCAUUGUACUGUUACCAUGCAACACUUCAGACGUAUGUCAUGUUGGCUCAGUUCAAGGUUCACCAUCUUGAUUCUACUGUCAUUUAAAGGAUUCCUACAUAGAUACAGUCUAGUCGUACGUGGUUUGAAGGAGUGGAACAUCUACAGCGUAUGGUAUCGGGAAGACAAUCCUAUUUCAUUACAUGGUUUUAUAUUUACGGUCUCUGCCCCUGUAUACAGAGAUAUUUUCACGAUGAGGUACAUGACAACAAGAUUUCUAGUCAGUAGCACUAUACACUAGUAUACAUCUUACAACUUCAUACUGGUAAUUCAACACCGUGCUGAUAUGUACUUCUGGUUUUAAAUGUGAAAAUAUAAAAGCAAUAAACAUUCACUAAUAUAUAACAUUUCAUAAACAUUGUGUGUUUCCAAGAAAAAAUUGUAAAUAUUUGGUCUAGCAUCAUCUAACAUAAAUUCGUGAUGUGACACAUUGCUUAUUUAAAUCAUGGUUGUAGCUAAGGAAACCCUUGCUUACAUAAGAAUAUUAAUAGCAUAUAUUGGUUAGGUACGGGGAAAGAUAAUGGUAAGGUACGGGCAAAGAUAUUGGUUAGGUACGGGGAAAGAUAAUGGUAAAGUACUGGCAAAGAUAUUGGUUAGGUACGGGGAAAGAUAAUGUUAAAGUACGGGCAAAGAUAUUGGUUAGGUACGGGGAAAGAUAAUGGUUAGGUAUGGGGAAAAAUAAUGGUAAAGUACGGGCAAAGAUAAUGGUAAGGUACCGGGAAAGAUAAUGGUAAAGUACAGGCAAAGAUAUUGGUUAGGUACGGGGAAAGAUAAUGGUUAGGUAUGGGGAAAGAUAAUGGUAAAGUACCGGCAAAGAUAAUGGUAAAGUACCGGCAAAGAUAAUGGUAAAGUAUUUUCUAUGAUUUGUAGUAUUUCCAAAUGUUGACUUCAGAUGUAACUACAACAGAACCGGAGAGAAGUUGACAAUACUGACAAAUUAAGACAUUAGAGCGUAUGUGUGUCAGUAUGUAAGACUUGAUUUUGCUGUGUUAUAUUUUACCUGUUUUGUUAUAUUUUGUUUUGUUGAAGCAUUUAAAGUUGUUAGUCAUUAAUAUCGGAUGUAGUAUUUAUAGGGAUGCCUCCCGUAGGAGUCAAUCAGUAUACCCUCAUAUAUUCUAGUGACAUUGAACCUGAUUUUAAAAGCAUUUGUGGGAUAAAAGUAUACUGAUGAAGAAACAUUCCUGUCUUUUCAAUCAAAUGUCAUGUUUUAGUGUUAUAUUUGUGUGUUUUCAGUACUGAUACAGUAUACUGUUGGGAGGUGACGAUUCAGGGACAAUUUCCCCCCCCCCCCCCCCCCCCCAAAUAUCCAUCAAACUUUCCACUUCCACUACAUUUAUUCCUAAUAAUCGACCUUGACUCAAACUCCUAUUUGCUUACUCCCGAUCAUUCAUGUUUCACUUUUACAAUCAGAAGAAUAUCCCAGAUCCUGCUUUUAACACCAAUUCAAAUAUUUUCUCAGAACAUCUUAACUUAUGGCAGUUUACACUAUUAUAUUGUCAAGUAGCGCUCAUUGCAGAAAAAUUGAAAUAUAAAAGUUUGCAAACAUUGUCCCCUAAACAACGUGGCGCUAUCCCAGUGGACACUACCAGAGGUUGAUAGGCCCAGAAAUUUCGAAAUCUAUCCCGCUAUAUUUUUUUUUUUUUUUUUUUUUUUUAUUGCAAAUGAAGUAUACAAUCGGUUUUUAAAAGCCUAUAUUAUUUCGGGGGGGGGAGGGGGAACCAAGAAAGUUUUGAGAUUGAAUAUGAAAACAGGUUUCUAUUUACGACUUAUAACAAAAACUAUCGCACCCUAUACCUCUUGGUUAUUCAAAGGUCGUUGACGUUUUAACUAAUUAUUCUCGUGUGACCUUGACAGUUGGUCACGGUAAUUCAUUUGAACAAUCUUGAUCAGCCCUACAUCGCGCAUUCUACUGGUCAUUCAGAAGAAGUUGUUUGAAAGUGUAUGCCGCACAGGUGGACAAUGGCCGCCGCACCAUCCCAUGUGCUCAUGUGGUCAUUCGGGCCAGGUGAGCAACGUUAUUUGUUCUUAGGUCGUGAACGUUUUUUCACAAGUCAUGGGAUUUCCCCCGAUGUGAUUUAUAUUACACUGUACAUCUGUGUAAUCCUAGUUGAUUGAGCGAGUUAAUACAAUUAGUUUGACUUUUGAAUAUCGGUUGAAUAUUUCCUUUACAAUCUUAAAAAAUACGAAACGAAUUUAGCUGGAUAUAUUGUAAGUAUCGUGUGUUAUUGUAUCUCAUUGCAAUCGAUGUGUAAUGUAACACAUUAUUUUGCUUUCUAAAGAAAGUCGCAACACUACUACAUGAUGUGUCAUGUGUAAACAACAUUUUAUUUAUGAAUAAAACACUGCUUGACGUGC
rnacentral:misc_RNA from 1 species